rnacentral:lncRNA from 1 species
CUUCACCUCCUUAAAUCCUUCCCUUUUUUUGGAUGUUUGGAAAUGCCACAGCCAUCUUAUUACUAUGAGGGGAAGAACCAAUAUCCUGAAGAUGGCAGAGCAGAAAGAGGAAAGAACUGUAAUGAGCAGCUCAUGGAAUACUCAAAAUUCUAUGAGCUGCUGUUUUUACCAAUUCUGGAAACACCCAACUUCAAGACUUCUUGAUAUAUGAACUAAGAAAUCUCCUUGUUAUUAAAGAAAAAAAGAAAAGAAAACCCUUCCCCAGCAGAGACCACUUUUACUACAAACUUAAAAUGUCUUUUCUUUAUCCUCGGCCUCAACUAUAUGUUGCGGCAUUGAAUUAGCAUUGCCAAACACCGCAGCCACUUUUUACCCCGAGCCAGGAGAGAAAGGAAGCAUGCUAUGUGGUGGGGCUUGAAGUCCUCAUUAGGUAGGCAGCUGUAUGUCUGAUCAUGGCGAGAGGUUCCUCUUGCUUCGCUUCCCUCAUCCUUACAUUCAUACAUGCUAACUCUCUCCCCC